UACGUAGGGUGCGAGCGUUAAUCGGAAUUACUGGGCGUAAAGCGUGCGCAGGCGGUUCGUUGUGUCGGCGGUGAAAGCCCCGGGCUUAACCUGGGAAUGGCCGUUGAAACUGGCGAACUGGAGUGUGGCAGAGGGGGGGUGGAAUUCCGCGUGUAGCAGUGAAAUGCGUAGAGAUGCGGAGGAACACCGAUGGCGAAGGCAGCCCCCUGGGCUAACACUGACGCUCAGGCACGAAAGCGUGGGGAGCAAACAGG
rnacentral:rRNA from 1 species